UAAUUGUUGUACAGUUGUGUGGCCUGAAGCUGACUUUACAACUAAUUUGUCCUUUGAAAACUGUAAGUGGCUGCCUCAGAACUGUUUUGCAUUAUUUCUCUGUGGCCUACCCCUACAAUCUCGUGUGAAGUGACCUUCCUCUCCACGGUUCUAGUUCUUCAAACAAUUCAUGGAUCUCACACAUUUCAAACUUUCAAGAUAAGGUUGUUUUCCAUUUAUACAAAUAUAUAUAUAUAUUUAACUUUGCAUUUUUCAUAGCUCAUAGCUCACAGCUCUAAACCUAGGCAUUUUUCAAUCAUAUGCCUAAUCACCAUGUGUCACUGUGAUUCUCAAGUAUUGUCACAAGUUCGUUUAAAUUCGUUUCCAAAAUCAACAAAAUAAUCAAACAAAAACAUAAAACAUAAACGUGUCAGGACACAAAAGAAAAAAGAAAAAAAAAAAAUGCUGCCACCCGAACAAGGCAGAAGUCUGCAUAUGUUGGCUUUUAAUAGCAUGCAGCUUGUAAUAUGGUAGACUAAUGUGCCUGUGUUAAUUCAGCUCCAUAUUAUUGUGUGAAGUUGCACUGGGUUGGGAGUGGCGUUGUGUGUGUCACAUUUUUGGUUAGCCAAUGGCUCGAAUCAGGUUGGACUAAUUAGAGGCAGGUGUACUUGAUUGCACUGAUACACUGGUCUACUUAUAGCCCACACUACAAACACUGCUGUUUCGUUUUGUCUCUCUGUGCAGUCCAGGGCCUAUUAUAUGCCACAGCCUAAAGACAGCUGGGUUCCAGAGGCUUGAGUGACCACUGACUAUAUGCUUGCAGGGUGGUGGGUCUCCAAGGACAACUUCUAACCCUGUUAAAGGCAACAUGUGGAGUGCAACUUGGCUGUGUGGCAUAGCUGGGUCUGGCCUUUGGACUGUGUGUGUUUAUACAAUUCAUAAGUGGGAAACUGGACUGUUUUAUCUAUUAUCUCUUGAUAUAUUUUUCGUCAAUAAAUUAUCUUUUAGAAUUUUAUUGACUGGUAUCUUUUUGCCCACGACUGAGACGGUUGGUCAGACCUAGAGUCUUUCUUUUGGUGUGUUACAGCAGCUUCUGCUCUAAAAGAAACAAAUAAAUAAAAAGAAAAGAAAAUGUGGAACAUGCUCAUCAGCUUAGCGGUGUCCACACAUUUAAUUCAGCUUCAUAAUCCUGUAGCUUUAGUUAUUUUCUACAGGGUUUGGCUUAUUAGUUGUUAUUAUAGAUGUGCUCUGUAUCUCAGUAAUAUUUAUCUAGGAUAAAUUACAGGUUUUCAAACAGGUUAAGUGCCUCUAUGCACCUAAUUGGUUUAGAUAUUGCCUUUAUUUUCUU
ensembl:lncRNA